GUUCUUAUCUAUUGGUAAUUAUCUUCAAGAAUUUAAAGAAAACGCACCCGCCCUUAGCACAUUGUAGCCUCAAAUAUUUCUGCUAAAAUGUCUUUUAUAUUCUUCAUAUAUGUUAUAUUAUUCGUUACGCUUAACAUCCUAUAUAAUCGAGGUACAUAUUACUUAUCGGGUUAUUGGCGUGAUUCGAGAACUACAUAAUGGUAAUGUAAGGAAACGCAAGAACGUUAUUGAAAGCAAGACAACUCUUCGUUCUUUUAGAAAAACAAAUUCGGGCAGUUCUUUUAGGGAAAAAAUGCCAUUCCUACUAAUUAAAUUAAUUUUUUUUUUUUGCUAAUCAUUGUUUAUUGAAGUGCGCUUAACUAUUUGCUUUCAUAAGCUCAUUUAGCACAUUUAUACAGUUUAUAAAAUAUGGGUAACCUCAAAAUGUAUAGGGGCUGUUUGAGCCCAUAUCAGAGCAUUUCACUGUCAAAUAUUCCAAUAUAUGUAUUCAGUCUAACAACAAUACAUAAAAGGAUUCAAAUGCUGACAAUUCCUGAUUUCCUCUAUAUUUUUUUUCAAUUAAAUAAUUAAAUUUUUUUUCUUCUUAUUGAUUUACUAACAUUUGUUUACAUUUAAAAAUUUAUUUAGUACCUAUAACCAAUAUAGGAUUAUAGGUAUACUUAUGCAAAACAUAACGUGCAUAUUUGAAAUUUUAAAAGUAAGUUUUAAAGUAU